rnacentral:rRNA from 1 species
AGUGAACGCUGGCGGUAGGCCUAACACAUGCAAGUCGAACGGCAGCACAGUAAGAGCUUGCUCUUACGGGUGGCGAGUGGCGGACGGGUGAGGAAUACAUCGGAAUCUACUUUUUCGUGGGGGUUAACGUAGUGAAACUUACGCUAAUACCGCAUACGACCUACGGGUGAAAGCAGGGGAUCUUCGGACCUUGCGCGAUUGAAUGAGCCGAUGUCGGAUUAGAUAGUUGGCGGGGUAAAGGCCCACCAAGGCGACGAUCCGUAGCUGGUCUGAGAGGAUGAUCAGCCACACUGGAACUGAGACACGGUCCAGACUCCUACGGGAGGCAGCAGUGGGGAAUAUUGGACAAUGGGCGCAAGCCUGAUCCAGCCAUACCGCGUGGGUGAAGAAGGCCUUCGGGUUGUAAAGCCCUUUUGUUGGGAAAGAAAAGCAGCAGGUUAAUACCCAGCUGUUCUGACGGUACCCAAAGAAUAAGCACCGGCUAACUUCGUG